rnacentral:rRNA from 1 species
CAGCCGCCACGGGAAUACGUAGGGUGCGAGCGUUAAUCGGAAUUACUGGGCGUAAAGCGUGCGCAGGCGGUUUGUUAAGACAGAUGUGAAAUCCCCGGGCUUAACCUGGGAACUGCAUUUGUGACUGUAUAGCUAGAGUACGGCAGAGGGGGAUGGAAUUCCGCGUGUAGCAGUGAAAUGCGUAGAUAUGCGGAGGAACACCGAUGGCGAAGGCAAUCCCCUGGGCCUGUACUGACGCUCAUGCACGAAAGCGUGGGGAGCAAACAGGAUUAGAUACCCGCGUAGUCCCUGUCUCUUAUAC